GAUGAACGCUGGCGGCGUGCCUAAUACAUGCAAGUCGAGCGAACAGACGAGGAGCUUGCUCCUCUGACGUUAGCGGCGGACGGGUGAGUAACACGUGGAUAACCUACCUAUAAGACUGGGAUAACUUCGGGAAACCGGAGCUAAUACCGGAUAAUAUAUUGAACCGCAUGGUUCAAUAGUGAAAGACGGUUUUGCUGUCACUUAUAGAUGGAUCCGCGCCGCAUUAGCUAGUUGGUAAGGUAACGGCUUACCAAGGCAACGAUGCGUAGCCGACCUGAGAGGGUGAUCGGCCACACUGGAACUGAGGCACGGUCCAGACUCCUACGGGAGGCAGCAGUAGGGAAUCUUCCGCAAUGGGCGAAAGCCUGACGGAGCAACGCCGCGUGAGUGAUGAAGGUCUUCGGAUCGUAAAACUCUGUUAUUAGGGAAGAACAAAUGUGUAAGUAACUAUGCACGUCUCGACGGUACCUAAUCAGAAAGCCACGGCUAACUACGUG
rnacentral:rRNA from 1 species